UUCUACGGGGCGCAGCAGUGGGGGAUAUUGCACAAUGGGGGAAACCCUGAUGCAGCGACGCCGCGUGAGCGAUGAAGUAUUUCGGUAUGUAAAGCUCUAUCAGCAGGGAAGAAAAUGACGGUACCUGACUAAGAAGCCCCGGCUAACUACGUGCCAGCAGCCGCGGUAAUACGUAGGGGGCAAGCGUUAUCCGGAUUUACUGGGUGUAAAGGGAGCGUAGACGGCAGUGCAAGUCUGAAGUGAAAGGCAGGGGCCCAACCCCUGGACUGCUCUGGAAACUGUCCGGCUGGAGUGCAGGAGAGGUA
rnacentral:rRNA from 1 species